AGAAAUUCAUUCGUGUAUCGUUGUUGACUAGAUUGUGUGUGUUUGACGAUAAAUAAAUUAAAUCGGCUAUUUGGUCGGUAUUGAUUUAUAUGUUGCUACAUAUCUAUCUUUGGUCUGACAGUGAACACGUGCAUUUUUCUUCUGGUAGGACGUUGCGAUCCGUUAGGAUAUUUAUCGAUCUAUGAUUUAUGGUUAUACGUUCAUUGAUACAUAUAUAUAAAUUUAUGUAUGUUAAUAUCAAUGAAACUAUUUAUUCUGAUCGAUUUACCUGACGGUAGAUAAAAGGUUAAAAGUCGCUAGUAAGUUAGCGUUAGAAGCAAGACAAAUAUAUAAAAUGUGUAUAGGCGCUAUAUAUUUUAUUUAUAAAGUUUAUAGUGUUCUCGGUAAUCGAUAUUUAUGUCAAUUCCGAGCCGUUUAUGUAUUGUUAGUCGAGCAUAUCUCUAACAGACUUUAUUAUUUUAUAUAAAACCGAUCAGCGACGCUAUAGCUUUGGGUACUUUCAGGACCCGUCUUGAAACACGGACCAAGGAGUCUAGCAUGUACGCAAGCCAUUGGGAUAUUAAACCUAUAGGCAUAAUGAAAGUAAAAAUCAAUUAACCUUGUGUAAAUUGAGGGGAAGAUGAUUGAUGAUUACAUGUUUAGUUAUGUGUGACAUCAUUUCGCAUUCCCGGGGCGUUUAAAUUUCAUUUGUUUGUUUACAUUCGAAUGAGAUUAUGCGCACCAAGAGUGUACACGCUGGGACCCGAAAGAUGGUGAACUAUGCCUGGUCAGGACGAAGUCAGGGGAAACCCUGAUGGAGGUCCGUAGCGAUUCUGACGUGCAAAUCGAUCGUCGGA
rnacentral:rRNA from 1 species